CCUUCUGUAGUGUAGUUGGUAGCGCCUAGGCUUUGUAAUUAUAAGGCCCAGGUUCUAGUCCUGGUCGGAGUA